rnacentral:rRNA from 1 species
GACAGAGGAUGCAAGCGUUAUCCGGAAUGAUUGGGCGUAAAGCGUCUGUAGGUGGCUUUUUAAGUCCGCCGUCAAAUCCCAGGGCUCAACCCUGGACAGGCGGUGGAAACUACCAAGCUGGAGUACGGUAGGGGCAGAGGGAAUUUCCGGUGGAGCGGUGAAAUGCGUAGAGAUCGGAAGGAACGUCGAUGGCGAAGGCAGCCACCUGGCUAGAUACUGACGCUGAGGCGCGAAAGCGUGGGUAGCGAACAGG